rnacentral:rRNA from 1 species
GACGAACGCUGGCGGCGUGCUUAACACAUGCAAGUCGAACGGAAAGACCCUGCUUUUGUGGGGUGCUCGAGUGGCGAACGGGUGAGUAACACGUGAGUAACCUGCCCUUGACUUUGGGAUAACUUCAGGAAACUGGGGCUAAUACCGGAUAGGAGCUCCUGCUGCAUGGUGGGGGUUGGAAAGUUUCGGCGGUUGGGGAUGGACUCGCGGCUUAUCAGCUUGUUGGUGGGGUAGUGGCUUACCAAGGCUUUGACGGGUAGCCGGCCUGAGAGGGUGACCGGCCACCUUGGGCCUGAGAUACGGCCCAGACUCCUACGGGAGGCAGCAGUGGGGAAUCUUGCCCAAUGGGCGGACGCCUGAUGCAGCAACGCCGCGUGCGGGAUGACGGCCUUCGGGUUGUAAACCGCUUUCGCCUGUGACGCAGCGUGAGUGACGGUAAUGGGUAAAGAAGCACCGGCUAACUACGUG